rfam:Triticum aestivum genome assembly, contig: Triticum_aestivum_CS42_TGACv1_scaffold_220606_3B
UUGGUACUCCCUCCGUCCGAGAAAAUACUUGUCAUCAGAAUGGAUAAAAAAAGAUGUAUCUAGAACUAAAAUACGUCUAGAUACAUCCCCUUUUAUCCAUUUUGAUGACAAGUAUUUCCGGAUGGAGGGAGUACUAA